CCUCACGGCUCUGGGGGAAGCCACAGACCUCAGCUGUACAAGCUGAGCCUGGACUAGAGGAACUUUCCGCGGGACUCGGGACAAACAGCCGCACCGACACGACUGUCUGCGAGCCUGAGUCCCAGACGAGCGCCGGCGGCGGCAGGUACUCCGCGCCCCCGCGGCAGGGCCUAGGCAGUGCAGCGGGGUCGGCGGCGGCGGCGGCGGGAGGGUCCCGGGCUGCCGAGGUCUUGCCAGUGCGCGCGCGCCAGCCGCCUCCCCUCCGCCCCUCGCUGCCGGCCUCGGGCAUCCACGGCCGGUCGUCCAGCCGCCCGCCACGGCCCUGAACAUGGCCGCAAGCCCCGCUGCCCCCCUGGCCUGGGCGCUGCUACUCCUCUCGUGGGCUCUGCUCCGCGGCGGCUGCGGGGCGCGCUUCGCUGCCGAGCCGGACUCCGAAGACGACGAAGCGGAGGCGGUAGUAUUCCCCGAGUCGCCCCUGCAGAGACCCACGGUGAUGGUGGUCGUCCUCGCGCGUAACGCUGCGCACACGCUGCCUCACUUCCUCGGCUGCCUGGAGCGGCUGGACUACCCCAAGAGCAGGAUGGCCAUCUGGGCAGCCACUGAUCACAAUGUGGAUAAUACAACAGAAAUACUCAGGGAGUGGUUGAAAAAUGUCCAGAGAGCCUAUCACUAUGUGGAAUGGAGGCCUAUGGAUGAACCUGAGUCUUAUCCUGAUGAAAUUGGACCAAAGCACUGGCCUGGCUCCCGUUUUGCCCAUGUGAUGAAACUACGACAGGCAGCCCUUCGAACUGCGAGGGAAAAAUGGUCAGACUACAUUCUGUUCAUAGAUGUUGACAACUUCCUGACUAAUCCACAGACCCUCAAUCUACUGAUUGCAGAAAACAAAACCGUUGUGGCCCCCAUGCUGGAGUCUCGGGGCCUGUACUCUAAUUUCUGGUGCGGAAUCACACCUCAGGGCUUCUAUAAACGGACCCCAGACUAUCUUCAGAUUAGAGAAUGGAAGAGGUUGGGCUGCUUUCCGGUCCCCAUGGUCCACUCCACGUUCCUAAUUGACCUCAGGAAGGAAGCCUCUGACAAGCUGAUGUUCUACCCCCCGCACCAGGACUACACCUGGACCUUUGAUGACAUCAUCGUCUUUGCCUUCUCCAGCAGGCAAGCAGGCAUCCAGAUGCACCUCUGCAACAGAGAGCACUACGGCUACCUGCCCAUCCCCCUGAAGCCCCAUCAGACCCUACAGGAGGACAUUGAGAACCUCAUCCAUGUGCAGAUAGAAGCAAUGAUUGACCAUCCUCCAAUGGAACCUUCCCAGUUCGUCUCAGUUGUCCCUAAAUAUCCAGACAAGAUGGGAUUCGAUGAGAUUUUCAUGAUAAACCUGAAGCGCAGAAAGGACAGGCGGGACCGGAUGUUACGUACCCUGUACGAGCAGGAGAUUGAGGUCAAGAUUGUCGAGGCUGUGGAUGGAAAGGCACUCAACACAAGCCAGCUGAAGGCCCUGAAUAUUGAAAUGCUGCCUGGAUAUCGAGAUCCCUACUCCUCCAGGCCUCUAACUAGGGGUGAAAUUGGCUGCUUCCUUAGCCACUACUCUGUCUGGAAAGAGGUAAUUGACCGAGAGCUGGAGAAGACUCUUGUUAUUGAGGAUGAUGUGCGUUUUGAACAUCAGUUUAAGAAGAAGCUCAUGAAGCUGAUGGAUGAUAUUGAUCGAGUCCAGCUGGAUUGGGAACUGAUUUAUAUUGGCAGGAAGAGGAUGCAACUAAAAGAGCCAGAGAAAGCUGUGCCCAAUGUGGUAAAUCUGGUCGAAGCUGACUAUUCUUACUGGACUCUGGGCUAUGUCAUCUCUCUGGAAGGAGCACAGAAGCUUGUUGGAGCCAGUCCUUUUGGGAAGAUGCUACCAGUGGAUGAGUUUCUGCCAAUCAUGUACAACAAGCAUCCUGUUGCUGAGUACAUGGAGCAUUACGAAUCCAGGGACUUGAAAGCCUUCUCUGCAGAACCCUUGCUCAUCUACCCAACACACUACACAGGCCAGCCAGGGUAUCUGAGUGACACGGAGACCUCAACCAUCUGGGACAAUGAGACAGUGGCCACUGACUGGGACAGGACACAUGCCUGGAAGUCCAGGAAGCAAGGUCACAUCUACCGCAAUGCCAAGAACACAGAGGCCCUGCCACCGCCAACCUCCCUGGACACUGUGCCUUCGAGAGAUGAGCUAUGAGGGCUCCAUGGGGGGUUUACUGCCCUUUCGUUUUCCUAAUGGGCUGUUGAUAUGUUUGUUCCAGUUUCUUUUCGUGGUCAUUAUCAUCUAACCAAAGUGGUCUAAUGUGAUUGAUCAAAAUUAGUAUGUUUUUGACAGGAGAAGAGAAUAGGGAAACUAAACCCAAAUUUCCUAGAUGGCUAGAAAAUAGGCUUUAUGGCAACCAUUAAGAUGAACUUCAAUCCAGACACCUUGUCCCUCAGUUCAUUACCCAUAUGAUACUGGUUCCCACAUUGAGGUUGAACAGCAUGGCUCAGAGAUUCGUCCAAGGGAAAGGUGAUCACCACACUAUCACAUCAAUAAAUGGGUAAGCCUGGCAGUCAAGUCAACUGGACCACGUCUAUUGGUCUAGUGGGCCCAUUUUAUGUCAUAGAUGUGACCUUGAAAACUUGAGUAUGUUCCAAGUUUGGGGUGUGGGGGAGGGGGAAUCAGAUCAUUUAAAAUCAAAUUAAUUGGGCUUUUUCUUUAAAGGCAUUUGCCAUGAGCCUUAUUGCAAAGUGACUUUUUCAUCUUAGUCCCCAUUACCCAACAGGGAUGGGUAGUUGGGUCUGUGUGUGACUUGGCAUUUGACUAUCAUGGCAAUUGAAGCUCCCAUGAAGAGGUGUCCAUUUGCCGUGAGGAUAUAGUUUCAUAGAUAUUUGAGGGUUUGUGUAGAUAUUUGAGGAAAACACUCAAACUUUGGCCUUCUUGAUUAUGGUCACUUGAGUUGGGAUGCUCUAUUUAUGAAGGUAAAUUUAAUAUAUAAGGGGCUGGGACUGGUGUGUAAUUGCUUUCCUGGGGGUUCAUGUGCUGCCCCAGCACGUCAGACUGUCCCCUCCUCCCUGAGCCUGGGAGUGAAUUGCAGGUGUGAGUUUUAUGAGUCACUGUUAAGAGGCAGAGCACGUUUUCAGGCCAGAAACAGUCCUUGCCUGGGAUUUUCAUUCUAUUUUGAAUUAUUUAUUUUACAAAAUGUGGGGGAAAUGUCUGUAGGAUAAGGCAGAGAAACAUAUGUGUCAGGCUUUUACUGCCCCCUGGGAAGUGGUGAGUGUAGACACGCUGGUUCCAGAAUCUGGUUCUUCUGCAUUUCCCAGCCUGACUCUUACAGGGAGGCCUGUUGAGUGGGAGAUUCUAACGUUCUGGAAACAAAUGAUUCUCCACCUCAGGUGAGAGACCUUGGUUAGAAACAAUGGACUGAUCAACUGAGUUAGACCAACAACCAGGGAAUCCUUGGAGUCAGGAUCCUGGGCAGACCACCUCUCUGCUUUCUUCAUAAAUGGAUUUUAUGUAAAAUGCAGAGUUGGACUACAUCAUCUGUUUCAGCUCCACAAUCUGUGAUCCUUGGAUAUCUCAUGAUGGUUUGCUUUAGGUUUCUGUUCUCAUGCCUGCAAGCAGUAAAACUUGGUCUCCAGAAAUCCCCUCCCCAAGCAUCCCGUCCACACACGCUCCUCUCUCCAUGUCCUGGGUGUUGACUCUGAGCUUCAUGCUUUGGAGCAGAACCCGUGGGUGGCCUUGCUGGGUGCACCAAGCUCCCUGCUCCCCAUGAGGGCCCCAGGCUGCAGGACAACCCGGCAGCUUCCUUCCACAGAACACCAGCCUUGGCCUUCCCUCUUGACUUAUGGUUGGUUCUUCUGCAUUGACCAAUAAGCCAGGAGACUGAGGGAAGGGAUCUCAGCUGCCUGAUUUUUACUGCUUAGACUUAGCUAUCAGAGCUUGACUCUUUGUCUAGAAAAACAGAGCAUCUGGGGAGCUAGUGAAAAACCCUUAGUCGAUUCCUAAGGUUUCCUUGGGUAUGUUGUACUUCGUUUGUGUAUUUGAGUGUGUGCAAAUGUGUGUGAAUUUCAUGUUUUUUUUUUUUUUAAAGGGGUGGGCAGUGGCUAUGGUAUUGGGAGUGGAGGAAGAUUUAAUUAAUUUUUGUGUGGUUAUGUUUCAUAGAGAAUAUUGGUGUUUUAUUUUUUCUUUUUCCCUGUCAGCUGGCCUGGUGGGUUUAUGAAUUCUCAUUCUUAAAAGACAUUGUUCAUAAAUUCUAGAAUUUUAGAUUAGGACUGUUCUACUGUGAAUAAAAUUCUGGCUCUGUUAGCCCAGCCGUUGCUUUUCUCCACUCAGGUCUAGAAUCCCAAGCAGUGUUCUUUCAUUGUGAACAUUGUGAGUUGCAGACGCAGCAUUUCUUUAGAAGGUCAUCUCUUCAGCAAUCCAGGGAUUCCUUGACCUCAUUAUUCUUUCCUGCCUCCCGUCUAGCCUUAAGUCAAGACAUUAGACCUUCGCAGUGUCAGAGGACUUUGCCUCCAUCAUGGCACCUGCUGUCUGCCUCUGGAAGUUAAACCCUCUCUGGAUCUUGAGAUCCAAGGUGUAAUCUUCUGGAUGGACGGCCCUGACUUCAGCAGUGCUGGUGCUGCUGAGUGUGGACUGAGUGUCUACAAUAUGCAGACGACACACCGCAUGGGCCUUGCUUUGUUCACUGGGGCCUGCUCCAGGAACUCUGGAAAAUAAGAGCCAGCAUCCCAGCAUCCUACACUGUCUUUCAUGCUCUGUCAUUUCAGGGUGGGGAAGUGAUAAACUACUUGCCUUCUAGAGCACUUUGUGAAAAAUUAAAAAACGUGCAACUCUAUGAUUGUUCAUUGGUUCCUCCAACGCUGGUCAACAGCCAACACUGCUGGAAUUUCCAGGUCUGCACUGGCCAAGGAUGUCAGAGGCCAAAGACAAUGCAGAGAUUUCCAGUAAAAUGUUGGUGUCGGAAACAAAAUUCCCAUUCAGCUACGCACAUGGGAAUAUUUUCACUUACAGUUGGAACAAAUCCAUCUAAUUAGGAACUGUAAGAUAAAGAUGAGUUUUCCCAAGAGGCUUCUACAAUGUGCUUUCAAGACAUUCUUUCCAACUGAUUAGAUCAAUUCGCUGACUUGCUGGAGGCUUGGAUGUCAGAUGUUAUAUAAACGAGGAUCAUCAGAAGUAGACAUCUGGGGGCAAGGUAUUAUUUAGAAUGCUUCUCCCAUUUAGAAUGCUUCUCCCAUUUUGAAACUGGUGCCUUGGUAUUGGGUUGGCCAAAAAGUUCGUUCGGGUAUUUCCAUGCGCUGGUAUGAAAAACCCGAACGAACUUUUGGGCCAACCCAUCUUUUUUUUAAAUGGCUGGAGCAAUCUAGAAACAGUUUAAAUCAUUUACUUCUCUUCUUUUUUCAACUUGAUUUACCAGUACCCUUUGUGUGGGAGAUUGUGACUGCAGCACAAAAUGUUGCU